rnacentral:rRNA from 1 species
GAUGAACGCUAGCUACAGGCUUAACACAUGCAAGUCGAGGGGAAACGAUAGAGAAAGCUUGCUUUUUCUAGGCGUCGACCGGCGCACGGGUGAGUAACGCGUAUCCAACCUGCCCACCACUUGGGGAUAACCUUGCGAAAGUAAGACUAAUACCCAAUGAUAUCUCAAGAAGACAUCUGAAUGAGAUUAAAGAUUUAUCGUUGAUGGAUGGGGAUGCGUCUGAUUAGCUUGUUGGCGGGGUAACGGCCCACUAAGGCGACGAUCAGUAGGGGUUCUGAGAGGAAGGUCCCCCACAUUGGAACUGAGACACGGUCCAAACUCCUACGGGAGGCAGCAGUGAGGAAUAUUGGUCAAUGGGCGAGAGCCUGAACCAGCCAAGUAGCGUGCAGGAUGACGGCCCUAUGGGUUGUAAACUGCUUUUAUAAGGGAAUAAAGUGAGUCUCGUGAGGCUUUUUGCAUGUACCUUAUGAAUAAGGACCGGCUAAUUCCGUGCCAGCCGCCGCGGUAA